rnacentral:rRNA from 1 species
GACGAACGCUGGCGGCGUGCCUAAUACAUGCAAGUAGAACGCUGAAGGAGGAGCUUGCUUCUCUGGAUGAGUUGCGAACGGGUGAGUAACGCGUAGGUAACCUGCCUGGUAGCGGGGGAUAACUAUUGGAAACGAUAGCUAAUACCGCAUAAUAGUAGAUGUCGCAUGACAUUUGCUUAAAAGGUGCAAUUGCCUCACUACCAGAUGGACCUGCGUUGUAUUAGCUAGUUGGUGAGGUAACGGCUCACCAAGGCAACGAUACAUAGCCGACCUGAGAGGGUGAUCGGCCACACUGGGACUGAGACACGGCCCAGACUCCUACGGGAGGCAGCAGUAGGGAAUCUUCGGCAAUGGACGGAAGUCUGACCGAGCAACGCCGCGUGAGUGAAGAAGGUUUUCGGAUCGUAAAGCUCUGUUGUAAGAGAAGAACGAGUGUGAGAGUGGAAAGUUCACACUGUGACGGUAUCUUACCAGAAAGGGACGGCUAACUACGUG